GCGGGUCGCGGCCGGCGGUACGGCGAUGGACCCUCAGGUGAUCCAGCAGCUGCUGGCCCGGCGUUCGGGUGACGGCCGGGGGCCCGUG
rnacentral:tRNA from 1 species